UACGAAGGGUGCAAGCGUUACUCGGAAUUACUGGGCGUAAAGCGUGCGUAGGUGGUUCGUUAAGUCUGUCGUGAAAGCCCCGGGCUCAACCUGGGAAUGGCGAUGGAUACUGGCGGGCUAGAGUGCGGUAGAGGAGAGUGGAAUUCCCGGUGUAGCAGUGAAAUGCGUAGAGAUCGGGAGGAACACCGGUGGCGAAGGCGGGUCUCUGGGCAGUAACUGACGCUGAGGAGCGAAAGCGUGGGGAGCAAACAGG
rnacentral:rRNA from 1 species